UGGGAUCUGUAAACACCGUAAACCCGGAAGAAGGAGAAUUACGAAUUACGAGAAUUUCUGAAGCCUUAUGCGCCUCGCCUCAUCUAUACACUCUUGCCAGUAUCUGUUGGCGUUGUCGGUGACAACAAGCCACAGCACCAAGACCAGCAACACUAACGACUCCAUGUCCUCCAUGUUUAUUGUUUACUCUCCGGGUUGUGAGACUACCGCUUAAAAGGUCACUGAUGUCACUGUUUGCGCCGCAUAACGACAUCACCUGACGUCCACCCACUUUCGCUAACUCCACCCAAUGUGUCCACCCACUUCCAGCCAGCACGGUUCAGCACGGUUGUAGUUGAAAUGCAACUCCAACAGCCCCGCUCAGCUCGACUCAGCCCGACUCAGCACGGCACGGCUCAGCCCAACUCAGCCGCGUUGGUAGUGGAAAAGCGGCAUUAGUAACGGCCACUCCGGAGAGUAUGGCGAGAUAUUGUCUAUGUCGUUCAUUCACAGUUAGUUGUUGCAGCUCCUCAUAUGGCUGAACAAGCCGAUUCGCGAUUUGCAUGUGGGGCCGCAGUUAGGGCAGGUUGUUCCUCCUGGAAGAGUUGGUCUGCUUGGGGCUUGCUGCCUUGCUUUUCGGGCCUGUCUCUUUCGAACAGCAUCGUCUAUACAUUCGGAUUCGAAGGUCUCGACUAUUUUGGCAGUUGCCCGGCGCCAGGAGGAGAGGUCUGAAGUGAGACUUUCAAAGUCAUUUGGCUCGACUUUUCCUUUUUUGAGGUAUAAUUUCAGAGUGUCUUUGUAUCUCUUCUUUUGACCUCCCUGAGAGCGAGUUCCCACCUCAAGCUCUCCAAAGAAGAUUUGUUUUGGGAGACGUGUGUCAUCCAUUCUGGCACAGUGCCCUGCCCAGCGUAGCUGGUUCUUCAUGACAAUGGAUUCAAUGCUGGUACUCUCUGCUUCUUCCAGCACGCUGAUAUUUGUCCGAUAGUCUUUCCAGGAGAUCCCAAGAAUUCUUCAUAGGGAGCGUUGGUGAAAUUGCUCCAGGGUUUUGAGGUGUCUUCGAUAUGUCACCCAUGUCUCGCUGCCAUAUAAGAGGGUUGGUAUGACCACAGCUUUGUACACCAUUACUUUCGUGUCAGUUUUGAGGUUACAGUUCUCAAAUACGCGUUUCCGAAGUUUUCCGAAAGAUGCACAUGCACUCCCAAGUUGGUGAAUAGCUUCGUCAUCGAUGUUUGCUUUAGUGUUGAGAAUGCUUCUGAGAUAGCAGAAGUGUUCAACAGAUUCCAGUGUUUCCCCAUCUAGUUGAAUAUUUGCCAUGGGAGCCUGCUGGCCAGGAGUAGGUUGAAACAAAAUCUUUGUCUUUGUUUUGUUCAUUUGGAGGCCAAGAAGCUUAUAGGCUGAGUUAAAGAGAUUGAGGUUAUCCUGUAGGUCCUUUUCCAACAUGGCUACAAUGGCGCAGUCAUCGGCAUAUUGUAGGUCAUUCCUUUUUAUUUUCUGGACUUUUGUGGUUGCCUUGAGCCAGCUCAAAUUGAAAAUACUUCCAUCAAACCGGUAUCUGACUGUGACACCGGUGGGGAGUUGGUCUUUGAUGAGAACAAUGGCCGCGAAGAGGUAGACGUUGAAAAGGGAGGGUGUCAAGACACAACCUUGCUUGACACCGGUCACAAUGGGGAAAGCGUCCGUUUCCGAGUUAUUGUACAGCACAAUGGCAGUCAUGCCGUCAUGCAACAAUCGUAGCAUCUUGAGAAACUUGUCUGGGCAGCCCAGCUGUUUCAGAAUUUUCCACAAAGCUUCACGGUUCAGGGAAUCGAAAGCUUUGGUCAAGUCAAUGAAGGCCAUAAACAGGGGCUGCCGCUGCUCGACGCACUUCUCUUGCAGUUGUCUGGCCGCAAAGAUCAUGUCAAUUGUGCCACGUUCUGGUCGAAAGCCACAUUGUGAUUCUGGAAGAAUCGAUUCGCUAAGUGGUUGGAAACGAAUGAUGAGGACCCUUGCCAAGAUCUUGCCGGUGUGAGACAGCAGUGCGAUGCCAUGGUAAUUACCACAGUCUGAUCUGUCCCCUUUUUUGAAUAACACAACAAUCAUCGCAUUUAUUAGUUCGUUUGGUAGAGCUUCAUCCUCCCAAACAUGUUGAAGAAACUUUGUCAGUUGAGUGGUUAGGGCAGGCCCCCCAGCUUUAUACACUUCAGCAGGGAUGCCGUCAGGUCCAUAAGCCUUGUUAUUAUUCAGGCUCAUAAUAGCCUGGGCAACUUCUUGGAGACUCGGCGGGGCAGCAAGUUCAGUUCUUUCAGGAAGAAGAGGGAUCUGACUUAUAGUCUCUGCAGUAACUGUGGUUUUACGAUUCAGAAGUUUUUCAAAGUGUUCUUUCCAUCUUGCCAUGAUUGAUGCGUUGUCCUUGAGCAGUGAGCCGUCUUCCGCUUUCAGGGGAGCCAGGCCAGUCUUUAUUGGUCCAUAUAACGCCUUUGUGGCCUGAAAGAAACUUCUCAUGUCGUUACUGUUGGUGAAACCUUGAAUUUGGGAGGCCUUAUCAGACCACCAUUUAUUUUUCAUUUCUCUGAUGCGAACUUGCACCUUAGCUUUGAGGUAGGAGAAUUUCUUGUGUUUAGUGGAAUUAUCAUGAUCAUCUUGCCAAGAUACGAAGGCACGACGUUUCUGGUCCAAAAGCUCUUGGAUUUCAGGAUCAUUUUGAUCAAACCAAUCUUCAUUCACUCAUUUGUGAGUGCCAAUUGUUUGGGUACAUGUUUCGAUAAUAGCAGAUUUCAGCGAGCUCCAGUGCUCGUGGACACUGCCAGGGUCAACAUCGGUAGAGAUAAGCUGCUGCAAAUUUUCGUUUAAACAAGUCUGAAAGUUUUCCUUUUCUAGUGGAAUCUUCAGUUUCAGUGUGUUUAACUUCUUCCGUACAGGCCUGGAGGUUUUUCGGAAUUUGUUCCCCAGAGUGAUAUCCAUACACAAGCGGACUAGUCUGUGGUCUGUCCAACGUUCGUCGGCACCUCUCAUCGCACGGGUGCACCUCAUGUCUUUUCUAUCCCUUGCUCUGAUGAUCACAUAGUCCAGGAGAUGCCAGUGCUUAGAUCAUGGAUGGCGCCAGGUAGUUUUAUGUCUGUGUUUCAGGCGGAAAAGCGUGUUAGUGACGACUAGGUUGUGCCGCACACAGAAUGUCAGCAAAAGGUGACCAUUAGAGUUUGCAUUGCCGACACCUUCCUUUCCUAUGGCUCCUUGCCAGAGCGCUGCAUCCCUGCCAACAUGGGCAUUAAAAUCCCUCAACAAAAUAAUCUUAUCGGUAGUCGGGAUAGCUUUCAUGACGGUUUCCAAAUCCUCAUAAAACUUCUCCUUGACAUCAUCGUCUGAGGUUAGUGUAGGUGCACAGCAGCUAACAACUGUCGCAUUUUGGUUGUCGUCAAAUUUCAGGCGGAGUGUCAUGAUUCUCUCAUUCACUCCAAUCGGUGUUUCUUCCGGUUGAUUCACUAUAUUGUUUUUUAUAGCAAAACCAACUCCGUGUAUUCUUCUUUCAUCCUGUGGUAGACCUUUCCAAAAGAAGGUAUACCCUCCUAAAUCCUCUUUCAGCUGCCCUUCAUCCGCAAGGCGAGUCUCACUCAGGGCAGCAAUGUUCAUGUGAAAGCAAGCAAGCUCCCUGGCGACAAAAGCCAUGCGUUGUUCUGGGCGGUCACAAUCAUCUCUAUCUGUAAGUGUCCUCACGUUCCAAGUCGCGAAGAGAAAACACCGGGGUGGGCGCUUCUGAUUUUUCUUUUUUGUUUUCUGGGUUUUCUUCUUUCUUUUUUUACUGCUAGGGGAUGACCCACUGGGCGCAGCAACCCAGCCAGGAAGAGUCGGGAUGAACUAUUUUUGAGGCACCUUUUCUAGCCCCGUCCCCAAAGGGGGGAGCAAAGUGGAUCCUAAAGAGGGUUGCUCCAUCAUAGAUGUCGCUGCCGAGAAGUGACUUCAUCCCUUUUUCCAGCCGCUUAGUGACCCAUGACAUCUACCGCCAAUCGUGCAGAGUUGUGACUAGGAACUCCCAGGAGUCGCAUCCCUGUUCCACUCGCCACGCAUCCAUCGCCGGUUGGACUUUUCAACACCACCAAACAGACACCUGGUUUGCGCGUGAUUGAUUAUUGUGAAGAAGCCCCUGCGCGGGGGGUGAUCCGCACUCUUGACAGUGUGAAGGCUGACACAGUGGCAUACCAAAGUAAGACGACUAUGCUGCCCGCACGCCGCUGCAGCAGAUGGCCGUCAGGAUAUUCCGAGUAGAAGUAUCAAGCGCCCUUCCGAAACUGCGGUCCGGGAGGUUUCUGUCAGGGACCUCACCCUUAGCCUUUGGCUUAAAAGCCUGUCCCACAAGGCAGCGGGAGGCAGAGACUUUUUGAGGCGGUCUCUGCAAUACAGUACCUGGUGUUCCCAAGCAAAUUCCCCUCCAAGUACCUAAACGAUCGUCAGCCGUCCAAUGGUUGAGCAAUGCUGAGCAGAGCUGAGCAGCGAUCAGCCAAUGGUUGAGCAACGCUGAGCAGAGCUGAGCGCUCAACAGACCAAUCAUUGAGCAAGGAUCGGAAAAUAUUCAUGACAUCACUGCUCGGCGCGGUUGAGCUCAGGUUGAGCUGCGUUAUGAAAAUACUGGCAGCCAUCUUUAGCUACUCCGGGGUCGGCGUUAUUGAUGACCGAUCGGACUGUUUUUUUUUUUUUUUACUCUCAGGUAAGUUUGGUAUAAUUAUGUGCUAAGUAAUGAAUGAAACUCAGUAUAUUUUUGAAUAGUUUGCCUGAUAUUCAAGGUUUUACAUGAUAUCUCGUUAGCGCCGUACUGACACUAAUUUUCUGUCACCAAGUGGCUAGGCUAAUAGCUGCUAGGUUCGAUCUCUCUGAAAUGCGUUUAAAAUGCGACCAGACUAUUGAUUUUACAUGUUGAGACCUUGAAGAAUGUACUACUACUGUGUGGACUCCAAAUGUAAAGCUUAAAUAUGCUUUAGAUGCGUUAGAAUAUCAACCGCGAUUAGCAUGCUAAAUGCAUUGAAAAUGAAUGAAUGAGCUACCAAUCAUUACCUGACGAUUACCUGACCCGAACCAAUUAACAUUACCUGACGAUCCCUGGAAAUACUUCAGAAACGUAAUCAGACACUCUAGCUCACUUCUUAAGACCAUAGAGAUGGUGUUACAACAGUGUGGAGUUGAAAUUCGAUGUGAAAAUAUGCUUUAGAAGUGUAAACAUGUCAACCGCGAUUUGCAUGCUAAAAACAAAGUGAUGAAUGAAUGGGCUGUUUUUGGUUACUACUUUUACGAGGUCUGCAGGGUCUCUAAAAAUGUAUUUAAGCCCUCAUCUGCUUUUAGUUUUACUCAUUUAUUUAUGUUUUACUGUACCAGAUGAAACAUGGAGAAGCCUAGACAUCGGUGCAGCGUGUGCGACAAGUCCAUCUCGACCUUCGCUGCCAGGGAGGAGAAAAAGGCCAACUACAGGGCGACGGUAUUGCCAAAGGUGACGCCUCACCUGAAAGUGCUGUCAGACGCACCGUUCCCGGAAGCUCCUGCGCUGCCAACAUCCCUCCCACCGCCAGACCGGCCUCAGGUCCAGUACCAGCACGUUCAUCACGAGGCUGGAAAAAGGCGUGGUGAGAAGUGGAGAUGAUUUGUUGAAGAGCCAGAGCCUGUGCCUCCUGUGAACCGGCCCGUUCAGCCCACGGCGUCGUCCUCCUCCACUCGGCCAAAGCUUGCUGCGCCCACCCCCAUUCUGCCAGGGCCUGCUGCGUCCACCCACUUCCAGGCAAAGCCUGCUGCGCCCACCUGUGGACCACCCCCUGUGUCAGCAGCACCCAUACUGCUGGUUCUCCUCCCACACCGCAAGGCUCCCUCCGUCCUGUUUCGUGGCCCAUCGUGCAGCCAGAGCUUUGUACCUCCUGCACCAACAGUCAAGGCAUUCAUGCCGAACAUGUCCUCGCGGCCAUGUGGGGCUUGCCACGUGCCUAAUUGUGGUGGACAGCGGAAGAGGUACACACCUUCCAAGGACAAAGUGGCUGGAAGCACCCAGAAGAUAUUUUCCUACUGUCCAUCCACUAGGAAAUCCACCAACCACCUCUGGGUUUAACAAUGUGGUGAACGCUUUAAAUGUGUGUUGGAUUCGGAGUUGGACAAGAGGAGAACUGUGUAAAUAACUGUGUAAAUAACUUACCUGUGUGAUGCCACUUCUCCUGUGCCAUCUGUAGGAGAGAGAAAGAGGCUUGUGUGUGUGUGUGUGUGUGUGUUUGUGUUUCAAAGUGCUUCAGCAAGUACAAUCUAUUUAUUUAUAUAGUUCAAAGGUUCAAAAAAAAUGCACUUUACAGUUUUACUUAAGAAUGUUCUUGUUUGUUUUUUAUUAUUAUUUAUGUUGCUGUUAAAAUGCACUUUGUAUUACCUUUUUUUUUAUACAAACAUGUUCUGGCCUAUGUUCAAUAUCAAGGCCAAUCUAACCUCAGUCAUUUUAACCUUAAUCAGUUCUGAUCUAACACAAUCAGUUUACAUACCCUUUAGUGGUUGUUCAUGUUCAGAUAAUCUGUGUUUUUGUCAUGCGUGUUGUUUGUUUGUCUUUGUCAGCUUCUGCGCGCUUCGACAGCGUAUUGAUACUGAGCUCCGUAUCAAUGCGCUGUCGAAGCGCGCAGAAGGUGUUAGUACGCCUGUCAUUAUAGUGCGGACUUUCCAUAGCAUAGAAAAUCGCUACGUUUCAAUUUGUGUAACUGAACUUGUUUCAUGGUCACUGGUCAUAUAAACCUAUGUAAACAGGAAAAACGUGGAAGAGUUUGGUCGCAUCUAACUACAGCCCCAAAAAAUACCAUUGGCCAUGCUGAGCCUAGCUACAUUGCUAACAGGAGUGACAGCGCGUCUGACUGACUGGGAGGUCGCGCAAAGCUCGGAGAGGUACGGAGCAGCUCGUCUCAAUUCAGAUAAGAGCAUAUUUCAUUAUGGAAGUACGGUGGACUGUUCCUUUAAAGCUAAACGACCUUUUGAUUUCAUAAAAUCAGUGAAAUUUAGUUCCCUCUAAAAUUUGGUCAUUGUGAUAUGUUUAUUUCUGUAAUAUCGCAAAAAACAAAAACAGGCCAUUCUGUGGCUGGGAAGUUAUUUAAUUUGAGGGGAUUAAAGCAAAUAACAUGCAUAAAAUCACUUGCUUUGCGCAGUCAAGCAGACAGAGGAAGUCCGUGUGCACAUGCGCAAGUUUACCUUCUUCUUUUGGGUUUUACGGCAGCUGGCAUCCAUAGUGUCACAUUACUGCCAUCUACAGGUUUCCCUUUGAGAGUGCACUGACAGUUCCAUCAUUCUGUCGCUAAACGAACAGCUGAUCAUACCGAGGUACUCACUGAGCACCGAUAUUUAUUAGUUUAGUCCUGCGUUUCCUUUCCUUCAUAUAGAACAUAACAUCUUUUCUUCUUGCUUUCUUUCCGUUACUGUAGUUGGUCUUUCACGUUUCAUUCGCACACUCACGUCCUCCAUUUUUCUCUCCUGUUUCAAAUUUGUAGCCCACAAUGCCUUGCGUGAAUGGGGAAAGCCCACCAUGUGAUGUAGUGUCUUGAACUGGGUCAUGGUGAAGCAGGAAAAAAAGCAGAGAAUUUAGGGCCAUGUGGCCUUAAAUUCAUUAAUUGUUCUAUUAAAAAAACUAAAAAUUGGAA